rnacentral:tRNA from 1 species
GGCUCGUUGGUCUAGGGGUAUGAUUCUUGCUUUGGGUGCGAGAGGUCCCGGGUUCAAAUCCAGGUCGAGCCC